rnacentral:rRNA from 1 species
GACGAACGCUGGCGGCGUGCUUAACACAUGCAAGUCGAACGGUGAAAGAAGAGCUUGCUCUUCUGGAUCAGUGGCGAACGGGUGAGUAACACGUGAGUAACCUGCCCCAGACUCUGGAAUAAGCGCUGGAAACGGCGUCUAAUACCGGAUACGAGACACAGCUGCAUGGCUACUGUCUGGAAAGUUUUUCGGUCUGGGAUGGACUCGCGGCCUAUCAGCUUGUUGGUGAGGUAACGGCUCACCAAGGCAACGACGGGUAGCCGGCCUGAGAGGGCGACCGGCCACACUGGGACUGAGACACGGCCCAGACUCCUACGGGAGGCAGCAGUGGGGAAUAUUGCACAAUGGGCGGAAGCCUGAUGCAGCGACGCCGCGUGAGGGAUGACGGCCUUCGGGUUGUAAACCUCUUUCGGCAGGGAAGAAGCGAAAGUGACGGUACCUGCAGAAGAAGCACCGGCUAACUACGUG